AUUUGGUAGGUAACUCAUUAUUUCCUUCUCAGCCAGCUUCUCCUAAUUUCGGAAAUUUAUGAACAAUUAAGUUAAAAAUUGUUCAAUUCUUGUGUUCUAGGUUCAAGUUAGCUUCCGGAACUUGUGGGCUCAAGCUAUUGAGCAUAUGGGUAUGGUGUAGAUUAAGUGGGUAUAUAUGCAUUGGGAAUAUUUGGAGGCUUGUUGGUGAUCAAAGCUUAGUUUGUGGCUGUUUUACUUGAGCUUGAAGAGGCUGUAAUUUUGUGUUAAGAAGCUGCCUUGGGUGAAUUAAGUGAUCGGCCAAGAUGCAGGUCGAGAGGCUCCUCGCUAGGCGUCUGGAUUCUGGAAAGCGAAGUAGUUCUUGGGUGUAUUUUGGUUUCUAUUUGUAUAUAUGUAUAUAUAUGUGUAGCUUACUCUCCAAGUAACUUAUGUAUGCUGCUCCUCUUAGAGGUUGAGGGAGAGAUAGGAGUUUACUUUGGUAUUUUGGUAUAUUUUGGGGACACUUAUGUAUAUUUAUAUGUAUAUAUGUAUCCUCCGGCCAGCCUUAGCUUCGCAGGCUGAGUCAGAGGCUAGUUAUGCUGUUCCUUGGCUUUUCUUUAUCCCUUCGUUUAUUGUUCUAUCAUAUUCCUAUUAGGUUUCU